GACGAACGCUGGCGGCGUGCUUAACACAUGCAAGUCGAACGGGCCCGCCCCUGUUUUUGGGGGUGGGUUGAGUGGCGAACGGGUGAGUAUCACGUGAGUAACCUGCCCCCUGCUCCUGGAUAACUGCUUGAAAGGGCGGCUAAUACGGGGUGUGCCGGCUGGUCCGCAUGGGCCUGGUCGGGAUAGUUUCAUCUUCGGGUGUUUCGGUGGGGGAUGGGCUCGCGGCCUAUCAGCUUGUUGGUGGGGUGAUGGCCCACCAAGGCGGUGACGGGUGGCCGGCCUGGGAGGGUGGGCGGCCACACUGGGACUGAGACACGGCCCAGACGCCGGCGGGAGGCAGCAGUGGGGGGUAGUGCACAAUGGGCGGAAGCCUGAUGCAGCGACGUCGCGUGAGGGAGGGAGGCCGUCGGGUUGUGAACCUCUUUCUCCGGUGGUGAAGGCCCUGUCCGUUGCGGCGGGGUUGACGGUAGCCGGGUAUGAAGCGCCGGCUAACUACGUG
rnacentral:rRNA from 1 species